AUUGAACGCUGGCGGCAGGCCUAACACAUGCAAGUCGAACGAGUGGCGGACGGGUGAGUAAUGUCUGGGAAACUGCCUGAUGGAGGGGGAUAACUACUGGAAACGGUAGCUAAUACCGCAUACCAUCGGAUGUGCCCAGAUGGGCUUAGCUAGUAGGUGGGGUAACGGCUCACCUAGGCGACGAUCCCUAGCUGGUCUGAGAGGAUGACGAGCAAAACUGGAACUUAGACCCGGUCCGGAUUCCUAGGGGAGGCAGAAGUGGGGAACAUGGCACAAUGGGCGCAAGCCUGAUGCGGCCAUGCAGCGUGUAUGAAGAAGGCCUUCGGAAUGUAAAGUACUUUCAGCGGGGAGGCGUUACCCGCAGAAGAAGCACCGGCUAACUCCGUGCCAGCAGCCGCUGUAAUUC
rnacentral:rRNA from 1 species